rnacentral:lncRNA from 1 species
UUUUGGGAGGCUCUGUUUGUGUUUGGAUAAGGCCGAGGGAAGAGAGCUCGAGCGGCGGAGCGGAGUAGGUGAUUCCAUAUGUUCAUGGCGAGUCCAUUCCUCCACCGCAGGAUUUUGAUUUCUCAUCCCUUUCUCUUCGAUCUCCGGCUUCCGCGGUAGGUUGUUCUUGUCUCUCGCCCUGUCCCGUGGUCUGUGUGUUGUGGUCGUGUAGUUUCCAAAUCUAGGUGAUCUUUUUGUUUUGAUCCGUGGUGGUGUAUGUUGCUGCCUUGUUGUUGUAGGCUAGUUUUGAGAGGAGUAAAUUGCAAAAAAACACCAUAUUUGUGGACCCUAAAUAAAAAAACCGCCACGUUUCAUUUUUUUUGCAAAAACCCACCACCAUUGUACAGACAAAUUGCAAAAAAGACUGAUCAGUCAAUAAGCAGCGAUUGACGCCAAAACUGACCGAUCGGUCCCACUUGGCAGGCUGACAUGGCACCAAGUUUUCACACCGUUUGACUAGCCCAUUAAAAGGUUCCCAGGGCCCACCCGUCAGCUUCUUGGCUUCUUUCUCUUCUCCGAGCCUCUUAUCCACGGAUGCUGGCCUCGCCGGCGCCGCUCCCCCACGCCUCCCUUGCUGGCCAAGCCUCCCCUCCCUCCCCUUCCAUUGCCGGCAGCCACGGCAGUUCCCGUUGUCCCCGGCGGAGGCAGGGCCGGACGGAGGCUCGGUGGUCACGGGCUCACGGCGGCUGGAGGUAGCGGCGGUGCUGUCGCUGGUCGGGUCGAGCUCCCCCACGCCGAGCUCGCCGAUGACCUGAGACCAGCACGAAGAGCUCCCCGACCUCCAGUGCUCCUUAUUUCCCAACCCCGCGACCCGCCCCAUACUCGAUUAUCCCCGUCGCUGUUGCAAACCUCGGCCCGCCAUCGACGCCGUUCAUGGUUGUCGCGGCCAAUGACCACCGCAAAUCACUGAAACUAGCCGAAUAGACUUGUCGUCGUCUGAAUACUCUCUUCCCCAGAGGAAUCGGCGUGAGGAGCCAGGAACGGAGGAACCGUCGGCGUCGCUUUCAUCUUCUCUGCCUCCGGUGGAGCUCCACGACGCGCUGAUCUCCUCUACAACUAACCCAUGUGAUCUGCCUCAACUACAUCUGCUUCGCAAGGACGUGCAUAAGGCACUAAUGCCUCUUCCUCGAGCUCUCUGCAAGGCCGCCCCCGCCCUUCACCUCUGCUAUGUCAUCCACCGCCGACGUCGCGGCUAACUGCCGUGCUCCGCUGCUGUCCCCGUGUCCUGGACCCACCUAGGCGUGCUAAUCCAUUGAUUUCCGCCUGCACAUCGGCAGCUCACAGCCCCGACAGCAAACACACCGCGCGGCGAAGCUUCAGAUUUGCUCUAGAUCCAGCUCGUCGCCGCCCUCGCAGUUCAUGUCGAUGGCCACCUCCGGCGCCCGUUGCUCCUUCCCAUCGCGUGCAUGGCCACCGCCACGGCAUCGGGCGGCUCGACUAGGAGCAGGUCGUGGCGGCGCGUCCAAAAGAAGAAGGCUGCGGCAGCCCAGCAGCGCGGGGCGGCGGCGCCGACAAGCGUGCGGGCGCGGGCGCGCUGUGGCCUGCGGGGCAGCGACUGGUUCGAUUUUGACUGGUCAAACCUGACUAAGUUAGCGCCGUUAGUCCCUUCGUGACGGGCGCCGUCUCCCCCUCCGCCAGGUGGCAUCUGACAGUGGGACCCAACGGUCAGUUUUGCAUCAAACGGCUCUAAUCAACCAAUCAACGUUUUUUGCAAACUGUCAGUACAAUGAUGGUGCGUUUUUGCAAAAAAAAAACGAAACGUGGUGGUUUUUUGAUUUAGGGUCCCCAAAUGUGGUGGGUUUUUGCAAUUUACUCGUUCUGAGAGUGUUCUAUGUCAUCUGGUGCUUGUGGUCGUCUGAUUUUGUUUCCUCUGCUGUAGAUGCAGGUGUAGCGGUCGCCUGAUUUUCUGCGUGCAUUUUAUAUCUGUUGUAGAUGGCUUGGCCUGAGUUUCUACUAGCUUGCGAUGUAGAUGUAGUGCUUAUUUUUGUGUAUCCUUCCUCUGAAUUUGUUGGCUCCUGAUGUGUUCAGUUGCCUGCUCAUAUUUGCUCUUGUAGGUCUUGAAUCCCUCUUAUAUUGUUGUAGGUGUUUAGUUCCCCUGGUUUUGUCAGUCUUAUAUCAUCUCUCUGAAUUUAUAUGUGCUAGCCCUGUAGUGCUGAUGUAGUUUAGUGUUAGUCCACGUUGUAGUCCCCACGCUUUUUUUAUUUGUAAUUACAGUGUAAUAUACUCUAGAAUUAUAGUGUAAUUUAGCCCAGAUUUUCAGUGUAGUCCCCAUGGUUCUUUCUUUGUAAUUCCAGUGUAAUAUGCCCUAGAAUUAUAGUGUAAUUUAGGUCCGUUUUUUCAGUGUAGUCCCCAUGGUUCUUUCUUUGUAAUUCCAGUGUAUUAUUUCCUGUAAUUACAGUGCAGUAUACCCUAUUUACUGUGUAAUCCCCAUGCCAGUGUAAUUCCUGUGCCUUUUUAGUGUAAUUUGCCCUACUGAAUUGCCCACUGUAAUUCAUGUGCUAUUCCACUGUAAUUACCCUAUAUGUAUACUGUCAUUUUACUGUAAUUUGCCCAAAUGGCCCGCUGUAAUUCCUGUGCUUUUCCUCUGUAUCCCAUAUUUAUUCUGUAAUUUAUAUUCAGUUUUUAGCCAGUGUAAUUCUUGUGCCUUUUUACCCUAAUUUGCCUAAUUUACUGUGUAAUUUGGCUCAAAGUUUCACUGUAUUUAUAAUGGUUUUUACACUAUUUUUAGUGGUACUUUCAG